UUAAAGGGGCCGCGCAGCGGCGGCCGCGGCUCGGGGUCACCGAGGGGUCCCGAGCGGGGGCUGUGGGUCACCUCGGCCCGGGCUCCACAUCGCCUGUGCGGCUCCGGGAUCCACGGCGUGUCUCUAGACCCCGCUGCCCCAGGAAAGGAGAAAAACUCUCUCAGCUCUAUGGUUGGGAUCAAGCAGGUAUCACCUGGGUGGGUGAUACCUUUCAGGCUGGAAAGUCUGCAGCUGGCAGGGUUGCACUUGUCUGCAGGAUGAGAAAUAACAAACUUGCCACUGAAGAAGCAAGUUUAAAAACUUAUAAAGUCAAAGUCUGACCUGCACUACACAAAUGAAAAUCCAGUGGAGUUCAGGUGUGACAGGCACUACAGGUCCUUCUCUUGGAAGAGAAUGAUCUAAACCACAAAACAUGCCCAGAUGCUUCUGUAGGUCUUUUACAGCAACGUGGGUUAUUCCAGAGGGAUGUUCUUUCUGCGUCCCUUUUCCUGUGCCCCACGGCCCCCUCCUUUCCUGGAGCACCAGCACUGUGCACUCACUUUGCAGCUCAG